rnacentral:rRNA from 1 species
CCUACGGGUGGCUGCAGUGGGGAAUAUUGGACAAUGGGCGAAAGCCUGAUCCAGCCAUGCCGCGUGAGUGAUGAAGGCCUUAGGGUUGUAAAGCUCUUUUGUCAGGGAAGAUGAUGACGGUACCUGAAGAAUAAGCACCGGCUAACUUCGUGCCAGCAGCCGCGGUAAUACGAAGGGUGCUAGCGUUGUUCGGAAUUACUGGGCGUAAAGCGCGCGUAGGCGGCGACACAAGUCAGAGGUGAAAUCCCCAGGCUCAACCUGGGAAUUGCCUUUGA